rnacentral:rRNA from 1 species
UACGUAGGUGGCAAGCGUUGUCCGGAAUUACUGGGCGUAAAGCGUGCGCAGGCGGUGAUGUAAGACAGGUGUGAAAGCCCCGGGCUUAACUUGGGAAUUGCGCUCGAAACUACUUUGCUGGAGUGUGGCAGAGGAAGGUGGAAUUCCACGUGUAGCGGUGAAAUGCGUAGAGAUGUGGAGGAACACCAAUGGCGAAGGCAGCCAUUCUGGGCCGAACAC